rnacentral:antisense_RNA from 1 species
UUUCCCGGAGAAGUUGUCAUGGGAGGCCAGCCGCCUGCUGGCAAGGAAGAUGGUUGAUUCUUCUGAGCAAUGGAGGCCCUGCAGAGCCCUGUAGUCGCUGUGGCCUGGCAUCCAUGGUUCACCCAAUGCUGGUGGAUGGCUCAGGACGGUACGUCUCACCUGAGAGGGUGGCUAGAGACAGUGUCUGCUCAGGACAUCAGAUGUCCCAUGAGGAGGAGCGUGUACUCACACCGGGGAGGUGGCUGAGGCAGUUGCUGUGGGAGGUGUGGUAACUGCUGGAAGGAAGAUGCUCGAUUCUUCUGAGCAACGAAGGCCACACGGAGUCCUGGAUUCGGUGUGGCCUGGCAUCCACGGUGCACUGUGUGCUGGCGAGUGGCUCAGGACGAGUAGUGGGCUCCACUGUUGUGCACAUCUUCCUGGAAAUCGUCUCUUGGCCCGCCAUUGCUGGGCGGCCACACCUGCUGCAGCUCGUGUGAGCAAAUAUGGCUCUGGAUCCUCUUUCCCGCUUUGAAAGCAGCUUCCAUCCUGAAGGCGUCCAGAGGGGGCAGUUAUCAUGGGACACCCGCCAUAUGCUGGCAAGGAAGAUGGUCAGUUCUUCUGAGCCGCAAAGGCCCCCAACGUCCUG